CAGUCGCCACGGUAAUACGAAGGGUGCAAGCGUUACUCGGAAUUACUGGGCGUAAAGCGUGCGUAGGCGGUUUGUUAAGUCUGUUGUGAAAUCCCCGGGCUCAACCUGGGAAUGGCAAUGGAUACUGGCAAGCUAGAGUGUGUCAGAGGAUGGUGGAAUUCCCGGUGUAGCGGUGAAAUGCGUAGAGAUCGGGAGGAACAUCAGUGGCGAAGGCGGCCAUCUGGGACAACACUGACGCUGAGGCACGAAAGCGUGGGGAGCAAACAGGAUUAGAUACCCGUGUAGUCCCUGUCUCUUAUAC
rnacentral:rRNA from 1 species